CCUACGGGUGGCAGCAGUGAGGAAUAUUGGUCAAUGGACGCAAGUCUGAACCAGCCAAGCCGCGUGAAGGAAGACUGCUCUAUGAGUUGUAAACUUCUUUUGUACGGGAGUAAACGGAGACACGCGUAUCUGUUUGUAUGUAUUGUACGAAUAAGGAUCGGCUAACUCCGUGCCAGCAGCCGCGGUAAUACGGAGGAUUCAAGCGUUAUCCGGAUUUAUUGGGUUUAAAGGGUGCGUAGAUGGUCUGUUAAGUCAGUGGUGAAAGCUCGAGGCUCAACUGCAGAAUUGCAUUUGAUACUGGUCGCCUAGAGAGUAGUUGAGGUAGGCGGAAUGUAUGGUGUAGCGGUGAAAUGCUUAGAGAUCACGAAGAACUCCGAUUGCGAAGGCAGCCUACUAAGCUGCUACUGACGUUGAGGCUCGAAAGUGUGGGUAGCAAACAGGAUUAGAUACCCUGGUAGUC
rnacentral:rRNA from 1 species